GGCUGCUUCGAAGGUAGUGAGUUAUCUCACUUGAUUGUUCACAGUCAGUUACAGAUUAAACUCCUUGUUCUACUACUAUUCCUCCUUCUCCCCACUGUACUUGACUAGUCUUUA
rnacentral:Y_RNA from 1 species